rnacentral:rRNA from 1 species
UGGGGAAUAUUGCACAAUGGGCGCAAGCCUGAUGCAGCCAUGCCGCGUGUGUGAAGAAGGCCUCGGGUUGUAAAGCACUUUCAGCGAGGAGGAAGGUGGUGAACUUAAUACGUUCAUCAAUUGACGUUACUCGCAGAAGAAGCACCGGCUAACUCCGUGCCAGCAGCCGCGGUAAUACGGAGGGUGCAAGCGUUAAUCGGAAUUACUGGGCGUAAAGCGCACGCAGGCGGUUUGUUAAGUCAGAUGUGAAAUCCCCGGGCUCAACCUGGGAACUGCAUUUGAAACUGGCAAGCUAGAGUCUCGUAGAGGGGGGUAGAAUUCCAGGUGUAGCGGUGAAAUGCGUAGAGAUCUGGAGGAAUACCGGUGGCGAAGGCGGCCCCCUGGACGAAGACUGACGCUCAGGUGCGAAAGCGUGGGGAGCAAAACAGGAUUAGAUACCCUGGUAGUCCACGCUGUAAAACGAUGUCGAUUUUGGAGGUUGUGCCCUUGAGGCGUGGCUUCCGGAGCUAACGCGUUAAAUCGACCGCCUGGGGAGUACGGCCGCAAGGUUAAAACUUAAAGGAAUUG